AAUAUGUAGUAGCUCAUAAGCAAGAUGACUGGAUGUUCAAGCAGAUGUGAGAGAUGUGCCACCCUUGAACCCUGUUAUAACAUUGGCACAUUACCUGUCUGACG